rnacentral:precursor_RNA from 1 species
GAAGGUAUAUUGCUGUUGACAGUGAGCGACUGUAAACAUCCUCGACUGGAAGCUGUGAAGCCACAGAUGGGCUUUCAGUCGGAUGUUUGCAGCUGCCUACUGCCUCGGACUUCAAGGGGCUAC